CCCCGCCCCGCCCGCAGCGGGCAGAAGGGUUUCUGGGAAGGGCCUGCGAGUGGGCUGAGCCCUCAGAAAGGGGCGCCUAGGAGACCCGCUCCGAGAAGGCAAUGGCCCCACUCCAGUACUCUUGCCUGGAAAAUCCCAUGGGCGGAGGAGCCCGGUGGGCUGCAGUCCAUGGGGUUGGACACUACUGACGCGACUUAGCAGCAGCAGCAGCAGCAGCAGCAGGAGACCCGCUGCACCGCCCGCCGCAACCGCCCGCCUUCACCUAGCCCUCUUGGCGGGGCCUGGCCGGCCCGCGAGCCCGGCUCCGCAUAUCUCGACCGGCCGCCCCCGCUGGCUCAGGUCUCCGAGACCCAGGCGACAGACAGUACAGAUGGUCGGUGCCCUGCGGCUGCAGAUCCUCCGUGCGCUGCCCAGAGACCCCCAUCAGCGUCAUGGACUCUCCUUCCCUUCCAGGCUGAGCGGCCCGUGCAAGCUCCAUAUUUGUGGCUUCCCUGAGAAUCACCCAGACUUCACUGGAGCUGACCCUCGGCCUCUCAGCCUUUGCUGAGCCACCUCAGUUCUGAAAUGGCAGCGUUUUGCCCGAUAACGAUCCUUCCAUCCAUGGAGUCACAAGAAUGAUCACUGAAACUCUCUACACUUCCACUUUCCAGACUUCCUCCCAUCGGUGAUAUCCUCAUCUAAGCCAUCUCAGCUGCUCUCUUUCAGUUGACAAAAAGGUAGGAUUUCUCCAGGAUUUUAAUGGCCCCCUGAGAAGGAUGAGGGACAGAGGUCUCACC
rnacentral:lncRNA from 1 species